rnacentral:tRNA from 1 species
ACCUGAUAGUGAGAGCUUUGUCUGUCUCCGGGGCUACAACCCGGCACCUGACCUCGGCCACACUACCUGUGACA